rnacentral:rRNA from 1 species
AUACGAAGGGGGCUAGCGUUGUUCGGAAUUACUGGGCGUAAAGCGCGCGUAGGCGGACUGGUCAGUUGGGGGUGAAAUCCCAGGGCUUAACCCUGGAACUGCCUCCAAUACUGUCAGUCUUGAGUUCGGGAGAGGUGAGUGGAAUUCCUAGUGUAGAGGUGAAAUUCGUAGAUAUUAGGAAGAACACCAGUGGCGAAGGCGGCUCACUGGCCCGAUACUGACGCUGAGGCGCGAAAGCGUGGGGAGCAAACAGGAUUAGAUACCCUAGUAGUCC